rnacentral:rRNA from 1 species
GCCAUGCCGCGUGUGUGAAGAAGGCCUUCGGGUGUAAAGCACUUUCAGUUAGGGAGGAAGGGUAGUGUAGUUAACACCUGCAUUAUUUGACGUUACCUACAGAAGAAGCACCGGCUAACUCCGUGCCAGCAGCCGCGGUAAUACGGGAGGGUGCGAGCGUUAAUCGGAAUUACUGGGCGUAAAGCGCAUGCAGGCGGCCUGUUAAGUCAGAUGUGAAAGCCCGGGGCUUAACCUCGGAAUUGCAUUUGAAACUGGCAGGCUAGAGUCUUGUAGAGGGGGUAGAAUUUCAGGUGUAGCGGUGAAAAUGCGUAGAGAUCUGAAGGAAUACCAGUGGCGAAGGCGGCCCCCUGGACAAAGACUGACGCUCAGAUGCGAAAGCGUGGGGAGCAAACAGGAUUAGAUACCCUGGUAG